rnacentral:rRNA from 1 species
GAUGAACGCUGGCGGCGUGCCUAAUACAUGCAAGUCGAGCGAACGGACGAGAAGCUUGCUUCUCUGAUGUUAGCGGCGGACGGGUGAGUAACACGUGGAUAACCUACCUAUAAGACUGGGAUAACUUCGGGAAACCGUAGCUAAUACCGGAUAAUAUUUUGAACCGCAUGGUUCAAAAGUGAAAGACGGUCUUGCUGUCGCUUAUAGAUGGAUCCGCGCUGCAUUAGCUAGUUGGUAAGGUAACGGCUUACCAAGGCAACGAUGCAUAGCCGACCUGAGAGGGUGAUCGGCCACACUGGAACUGAGACACGGUCCAGACUCCUACGGGAGGCAGCAGUAGGGAAUCUUCCGCAAAGGGCGAAAGCCUGACGGAGCAACGCCGCGUGAGUGAUGAAGGUCUUCGGAUCGUAAAACUCUGUUAUUAGGGAAGAACAUAUGUGUAAGUAACUGUGCACAUCUUGACGGUACCUAAUCAGAAAGCCACGGCUAACUACGUG